UACGAAGGGGGCUAGCGUUGCUCGGAAUCACUGGGCGUAAAGGUGCGUAGGCGGGUCUUUAAGUCAGGGGUGAAAUCCUGGAGCUCAACUCCAGAACUGCCUUUGAUACUGAAGAUCUUGAGUUCGGGAGAGGUGAGUGGAACUGCGAGUGUAGAGGUGAAAUUCGUAGAUAUUCGCAAGAACACCAGUGGCGAAGGCGGCUCACUGGCCCCGAUACUGACGCUGAGGCACGAAAGCGUGGGG
rnacentral:rRNA from 1 species